GACGUAGGAGGCGAGCGUUGUCCGGAUUCAUUGGGCGUAAAGAGCACGUAGGCGGUCUGUCGCGUCGGCUGUGAAAACCCGGGGCUCAACCCCGGGCCUGCAGUCGAUACGGGCAGACUAGAGUGCGGUAGGGGAGACUGGAAUUCCUGGUGUAGCGGUGAAAUGCGCAGAUAUCAGGAGGAACACCGGUGGCGAAGGCGGGUCUCUGGGCCGUAACUGACGCUGAGGCACGAAAGCGUGGGGAGCAAACAGG
rnacentral:rRNA from 1 species